ensembl:rRNA 5S_rRNA 5S ribosomal RNA
GCUUACGGCCAUACCACCCUGAGCACGCCCGAUCUCGUCUGAUCUCGGAAGCUAAGCAGAGUCGGGCCUGGUUAGUACAUGGAUGGGAGACCGCCUGGGAAUACCAGGUGCUGUAAGCU